UUUUUUUUUGUUUUUUUGUUUUGUUUUGUUUUUUUUGGGGGGUGGAGGCAAAACCUAUCCUAUGAAAGGAUCUGUGGUUUGGAUGUUAUUGUUUAUCUGUAAAAACAAACUUUUGGGGUUUGGGGGUCCCCCCCCAGAACAUACACAUGGCUAAAAGUUCCCACAAGUUAAAUUUCAGAAUUGUCUUCAAAUGGCCACAGCACCAAAGCUUACUGCUAAUGAGUUGCAGAUCUGCAUCUUAAUUGAACAUCCAGAUUCCCGCUUACAAAAGAAGGAUGCGGUCAACAAGAACAAAUAACAUUAGUGAGCCAAAGCAACAAUAAUUUAGAAGAGAUUUGCCGGGAGGAGAGCACAGUAAGUGCCAUAAAUAUCGGCCAAAUUGCUGAAGACACGGCUGGUGAAAAGCCCGGGCAGUGCAGCUUCAAGGGAACCAUCCCCAAAAAUAUCAGCGCAGCUUUCCGGGCUCCUCUCCCUGCGAAUGGGGAUGUUCCCUGGGCAGCAAUAACCGGGAGCAGCCCGGGAAUAAAGGGGAAGGACGGGAAUAAGGGCACAAAGCCGGGGCCCAUGCUGGGCGGCUAAUUAAAACAAUUACAAAGACAAAGCAGCUAUCAGUAGCAUUCCGAGCAGCAAACAAAGAGAUAAAGUAGCGGAGACUUAAAUCAUCAAUGGUUGAUCUCUCCAGGAUGGUUUUAUGCGGUCCCCACGUCUCCUCUCUCCCCUCUCAAAUCAGGGAGCUGGUUCAUUUUUGGGAAUUUCAGCACAAAAUAUUUGGGAACGGGCCUCUAAAAUAGCUUCAAAAAACUGUGGUGAAGUAAGGCUUUGCUGUUUUUUGGAAGUUUCUGGCUUGUAAACUUGGGGUAGUUUUGUUUUUGGAUUUACAGGAUGGUUUCUUUAAAGCUCACUAAAGAGAUUACAGCUUUUAUGCAUAACCCCCAUCUCUUCUCCACCAGCAAUUACAGGCAUAAACCAGAAAUGCCUCGGUUUUAAUUCCAGGUUUUCACAGGCAGGGAGGAUAAACAUAUACCAUGGAGGGAAUCAAUAGGAGGAGAAUAGAUGGCUGCAUAAAUUAGGCAAGUCUCUCAGAUCCUGUUAAAGAUUUCCCCCAAAGUUUCGAUAAAGACGGUUCCACAGAGCAGUCUAUAUAUAGAAAAAUGGUAAGCAAGCCUGGAGUGUUUGCAAGGCAGGCUGGGGUAAUACUUUAGACAAACACCUUGAGUGAGGAGUGUAAACAGUGACAGUUGUUUUUCUCAUACACCGAAUUAAAGGCAGCUUCUCCAGAGGGGCUGUUCCAUUUCAUACCAUCUAUGUGCCCCAGCAGAAAAUGUUACUUUACAGAACCCCACUUUUCAACAAAAAGCUUUUUGGAAGCCUUUGUUGUACUGAUUUUGUUAUCUCCAGGCCAGUUUACCCAAGGCUUACUGCGAACUAUAGAGCAACUAUGAGCAAAAAUAUGUGAGUUUACAGUGGUUUUUCAUUUGCUAAAUUAAUCAGAGUAAAGCAAAGAGCAGGGCCGGGUGUGGCAGCUCUGUAACCGAAUUGCAUUCUGACUUGCACUCAGCUGUUCUUUUAAUCAUGGGGACAAAGAGCCAAAAACUCCAAGUAGCCAACGAGAAACCUGGAGGGGCAAUGGCAGCUUUUUCUGAUUGUUUCCUCUGAUGGCAGAAAAAUUAUUUGGGAUACAGCUGAAAUAAAUCAGUAAAUAAACUGUUAACAUGAAAAAUUGCAAGCAUGGAUUAUUUUUUUCAGAACUGUCCCUUCAAAAAUGUAUUUAAUAAACUUGGAAUUAAAAGCUGCAUAAAAGUGUCUACAUAAAUGUGCAGUUUCCCACCAAACCAUUCCUGCAACUGUUGUUAGGAAAACACAAUCACUCUACCCAUGUCUGAGAAAUUAAGGACUAAGGAUGGUAAACGAGGAACUUUUUAAUGGGUUUUAAAAGCUCUGCAAACAGCCUGAGGAAAACAUGAUUCUUUGGGAAAGAAGAUGAUAAAUCUGAUUUUCCCUGCAGGUUCCAUUUGAGUACACGUUUAUAUGUGCAAUCCUUUAGUGUUGCUGAUGGAUCUCCAUAACAGGGGAGAGGACAGAAUGCAACUUUAUAGCUUAUUAAACAUAUUUUUGCAUAUUAUUGGGUUCAUAGCCUCAGAAUGCCAAAAGGUAAUAGAAGCAAAACCCUCUGAAUUAGACUCUCAGAAUUUAUUUGGAAAGAACAGAACAAAAGGAAAGAUGUAUUUGGUGUUUUAAACAUGUCCUAAACGUAGUAUGACAUUGUGAAGAGGUUUCAAGAAAUGAUUGUUGUUAUUGUUCUUUCAUUGCAAAAGCUCCAUGAAACCUCUAAUUUCUGCUGGCAGAUUUCAUGCUAAUUUUGUAGUCACUUCUACAAGAGCAGGAUCUGAAUAACCUGAGGAUGUCAUAAAUGAAAGCCUCCCAAACAUCAGGAUCAGGCUGACACUGAGCAUGGAACUGCUCUGCCAAACAGAAAGAACACAUUACUCCUAACACAGAAACAUCAGCAAAUGACAAAUUCAUUUAAACACUCAAAAGUUUCCUCACUGAUCUGAGCCUAAUUCGUUAUCUGAAUCCAACCCCCAGAAAACCAGCUGGGUUUUACAGGCAGGGGGGUGGCACCAGGAUGGUCCCUGGGCAAGGGCUGGCAGCAGCAGACACUGGCCCCCAAGAGAGCACUACCUUUGACCUGAGGCCAUAAAGAAAAAAUCCAAAAUUAAAUAAUAAAGCUGAGAUGAUGAGCGUGUAGUUUGAAUAGAAGUCUAUAAUAUCACAUAGUAAAAUACUGAGAGUUUAAAGGUUUAGAAGAUAGUAAUAUAUAUAAAGCAAGGUAGAAGUUUUAACAUGGAAGCUAGUCCUUCUUCUUCACCUACUUCUUCAUCUUCUUCUUCACUUUGGGUAGUAUUGUGUAAUUAAAGUCCACAUUGCAAAACACAAGUAGUUAGUUAUUGAAUUAAAAGUAAAAAUAAUUUAAGUAUCAUUUCUUAAUUAACAGUUUAUCCUUAAAAAGCCUUGUAGGAAGAGAAACACAACUCCAUUUUUAGCUUGUUAGAGUAAACCAUUGUAAAGCUAACAGUUUGUAAGUCUAUAGUAGAAAUAAAAACUAAUAAACAUCUAAGUCCAAACAAGAAAUACAGUCUCAUACUUUUAAUCCCAGCCUAAACAAAAAAUCGACAUAGUGGUGAUCCCUGUGAUCAUCAGCCGCUCCUGCUGGUUCUGUGCCUCGGGGCAUCCCAGGAGGGGAGCAGACAAUGCCCUUCCUGGUGGGUUCUGGGGGUGUGGAGGGGCCUCAGAGCUCCAGGAUGGUUUAAAAUUCCCUUGGUGGUUCUGGAGGUGCCCCAGGAGCACUUUCAGCUCUGCUCCCACCCCACUGCUGCCUCCUGGGUGCAUCUGCUCACUCCACAGCUGGUACCAGGAGCAGGGUGAGGAGGCAGCAUCAGGGCACUGAAUCAAAGUAAAGAGGGACAAACAGGAAAAUGUGCUGGUCAAUGUUAAACCCAUUGCUCCCACAGCAAAAUAUUCCUUUAUCUGUCCCCAGUUUUCUCUCUCUCUGCAAGUUUUACAAAGCCUCGGUUGGGCAUUUCAGUUCUAACAAGGGAACUCGUUUGCUCAGCUAUAAGUUGCAAUUAUUAACAAAAUGACAUCCCACAGCUUCUGAAGAGGCUCCAGCCACUCCAUUUUCUGACCAAACCCAAAACUUGCCCCUGAUGUUUAUUAACCAGCGCAGCUGCUUUGAACACAUCAGGGAGAAAGACAAGGACCUUAAGCCCUGUUUGUAUAAUAAUGGCAGCACUGUGCAUACUACUGGGCCUAACUCUAAAAACAUCCCAUCUUUUGUCUCUGGCCACCAGCAGCAGCUGUGAGUCCUGCCCCACCAUGGUGCCCUGGAACACUGUGUGGGCACUGCCCAAAUCUUGCCAAGCUUUUCAUCACACCCACAGGCCAGAGAUGAAAUUCAUACAGCUGCUCCUGGCACCUCUUGCUCGUGAGCCCUCCUUGGUAGGGCAUGGAGGUUCAUUUCUAACAAAGCUUUGGGCAUGGAGGUUCACUUUUAACAAAGCUUUGGGCAUGGAGGUUCAUUUCUAACAAAGCUCUGGGCAUGGAAAUUAAUUGUUUUUCAUUUCUAACAAAGCUCUGGGCCCAGGGAGGGCUGGUGAACGUGAGUCUCAGCAGGCAGCUGGCACAGGAGGGCACAGCCCAGCUUUGGGCAGCCUGGGGCAGUGGAAUCCUCUUUCCCAGACCAGGACAUUUGGGAUGCUGCUGGGAUUUCCAGCACAGGUGGGUGCUGCAGCCUCCAUGAGGCAUUCAGGGUGUCCUGGAGGUGUCUUCCAUGCUCCCUCUGGGAUGGAUUUGGUGCUCCCAGCCCAGCAGAGCCUUUUUCACCCAUCCUGCCAUGGGUGCUGAGCUUGCUCCUUGCAAACACCAAAUUUUGCACAUCCCAGAGCUUCAAAGCUCAGAGCAUCACAGCAACAGCCUUAGGGAGGAGGAUUGGAUCUGUCUGAACACCCAAAAUUCCUUUUCCUACAACUCCAGAACCCUGUGCAGUGCUGAUACAGUGACACAUUAUCUCACGGUGUAACUGCUGUUCCUCAGAGCAAGAAGAGUUUAGCAGGCUCUGCCUUGAAUAAUUUCAAAACUCAGAGCAUCCCCCAGCAGAGUUUCUGGCAGAAAAAAACCCCUAAAGUUGCUAAAUAAUAGAGAACCAAAGCUGCUGUAUUUUGACAAUUGUAAUACACAUAAGAUUAAAAAUUCCCUAAGAAAUAAUUCCUUCUACUUUUAAUAAUAGCUUCAGUUAGAGACCUUUUCUACUUAAUCAACCUGCUUAAAAUUCCUGCCUCCAGCAGGAAAGAAUCUCAAUCACAGGGAGACAAACAUUCAUUAAGCCUUGUACAAUAAACCUGCUCUGCAGCUGAAGUGCUAUUAAUAUCAUUUUACAGAAGGAGGAAAUGGAAGAAUAGUGAGAUGGGAGUAACUUGCUCGGGGUCACAAAAAGGUUCAUGAAAGCAUGGUCGAGCAGUAAACCUUGAAUCAGAGAGCUCUGCCCCGAGCCAGCACAGCCUCCCUUUCCCUCCACACUGCUCUUUGCCACCCAUCCCUUGUUUUAUUUCACAGCCAUCAAUUGUAUCAGAUGUGGGUAGUUGCUUUCUUGGAGAUCUGAACAUUUACCCCACAACAGGAAGGCAAUUCUUUUCAUCCUCACUUAUAUUCCUAAUUAACGAGCACUGUUAAAGGGGUGCAGCUCCCCCUCACUGCCCAGUCUCUCCCAGUACAGAGAACUGGCAGGAAUCUGGCAGGCAGCAGCUGCCCUGCCAAAAUAAAUGUGCUGGGAAUCCUCAGCAGGUGAGGAGGGACCAACCUGAGCUGGCUCUGUGCGGCAGGAGGCACCAGUUCAAUUAUUUUACUGGUAAGGAAGUAAAAUACAGACCAGAGCCGUUAAGCAGUGGUAGAAUUAUAAGGAAAAAAAAGUUUCUGUGAGAGAGGAUGGAGGAGCUGG
rnacentral:lncRNA from 1 species